UAUGGUGUGUGCCAGCAGCCGCGGUAAAACGUAGGGUGCAAGCGUUGUCCGGAAUUACUGGGUGUAAAGGGAGCGCAGGCGGACCGGCAAGUUGGAAGUGAAAACUAUGGGCUCAACCCAUAAAUUGCUUUCAAAACUGCUGGCCUUGAGUAGUGCAGAGGUAGGUGGAAUUCCCGGUGUAGCGGUGGAAUGCGUAGAUAUCGGGAGGAACACCAGUGGCGAAGGCGACCUACUGGGCACCAACUGACGCUGAGGCUCGAAAGCAUGGGUAGCAAACAGG
rnacentral:rRNA from 1 species